rnacentral:tRNA from 1 species
GCCGGCGUAGCUCAGCGGUAGAGCAUCCGCCUUGUAAGCGGGAGGUCGGGGGUUCGAUCCCCUCCGCCGGCACCA